UGUGUGUUUGUGUUUGUGUGUUUGUGUUUGUGUGUUUGUGUUUGUGUGUUUGUGUUUAUGUGUGUGUGUUCAUGUCAAUAUUUUUACUGACGUGGCUUGAUGUUUUUAGGGUAAUCUUUCUUCUUAGUGGUUAAAGGUUGGGAAUUCAAUUUAAAAUGUCCAAAUGUUUUCCAGGUAAACGGUGCCUGCAGGUGGAGGGUGUUGUCACACUGAAACCCCGAAGGUCUCACUUCAUCCUGCUGUGCUGUUGGUGUGUUACCAAGGGUUCUGCUGAGGAGGUGCCAGACACACCAGGCAGGGCUUUGAGAGGCUUAGCUCAAGUUUUUUGACAGACAUAAAAGUUCAGCAGAAUGGAAUGGCGCCUUCCUCGAGGAGAUGUUGAAAGAGGAGGGGCUGAAGAAGAUGUGGUCCUGCUGCCAUGCAACAAGAGCCCAGCUGGAGGGAGAGCAGAUCCAUCCAUUUUCCUGACCUAUUGGUUGGUGUAAUUAACUUUUGUUUCAUCUCCUAAGUAAACCUUGAGAACGAUAAAA